ensembl:snRNA U6 U6 spliceosomal RNA
AUGCUCUCUUCCACAGCACAUACACUAAAAGUGGAACAAUACAGAGAAGAUUAGCAUGGCCCUAUGCAAGGAUGACAUGCAAAUUUGUGAUGCAUUCCACAUUUUU